rnacentral:piRNA from 1 species
UGGGAUUAAAGGUGUGCACCAAAACCUCC